GGGAGGUUGGCGGCGGACGUGUCCCUCGCCAACCGGGUCAGGUCCGGAAGGAAGCAGCCCUAACGAGCCAGAUGCGGGUCGUUUGUCAGCCUCCCACA
rnacentral:SRP_RNA from 1 species